rnacentral:ribozyme from 1 species
UGCCGACCGAGCGGCACAAAACAGGCAUUAGGCUCGGUGCGUUCCUCCGCCACACCACAAGCGGAGGAGGUUGUA